AAGAGAGUGGGUGGUGGGGGGGCAGAUCGGUCGCUACCACCUGACCCACUCCCCCCCUAUCUCCUCCCCUCCCAAACGACAACAUCCACUCCCCAUCCUACCCACCCGCCCACCCCGAGCUAAAGAGGCGUCGUUGUGGGGCAUCACACCGAAGCAGAAGAAGAAGAAACCAGCCGAAGGAGAGGCGGCCACAAGUUGAUCAGCCAUGGACUCUGAGAACCGGGUUGUGCUUAAUGUUGGAGGCAUUAGGCAUGAGACCUACAAGGCGACGCUGAAGAAGAUUCCUGCCACCCGUCUAUCGAGGCUCACGGAAGCUCUUGCCAACUAUGACCCCAUCCUUAACGAGUACUUCUUCGACAGGCAUCCUGGUGUUUUUGCUCAGGUCCUCAAUUAUUACCGAACGGGGAAGCUACACUAUCCGACGGAUGUCUGUGGUCCCCUUUUCGAGGAAGAGCUCGAGUUUUGGGGUCUUGACUCCAAUCAAGUCGAGCCAUGCUGCUGGAUGACUUACACAGCGCAUCGAGACACUCAGGAGACCCUUGCAGUCUUAGACAGGUUAGAUUUGGACACAGACAAACCAAGUGAUGAAGAAACAGCCAGGAAAUUUGGCUUUGAGGAUGACUACUUCAAUGGGACUCUCAAUUGGUGGCAGAAGACUAAACCUAAACUAUGGUCGCUCUUCGAUGAGCCUUACUCCUCGCAGGCAGCCAAGGUAAUUGGUGUCAUCUCAGUCUUCUUCAUCUGUGUCUCCAUCCUGUCCUUUUGCCUCAAGACGCAUCCAGAUAUGCGAGUUCCUGUUAUUGAGAAUGUCACUGUUACAACUGCAGAGAACACUACAGCUUGGACUCUCGACAAGAAAGCAACCAAUGCCCAUGAGGCCUUUUUCUAUAUUGAAUGUGUCUGUAACACUUGGUUUACCUUUGAGAUCUUGAUAAGAUUCAUUGCUUCGCCCAACAAGUUAAUGUUUUUGAGAGCCUCAGUGAAUAUGAUAGACUUCAUUGCCACACUGAGCUUCUAUGUGGAUAUACUCCUCCAGAAAUUUGCUUCUCAUCUAGAGAAUGCUGACAUCUUAGAAUUCUUUAGCAUUAUUCGUAUCAUGAGACUGUUUAAGCUUACACGGCACUCAUCGGGCCUCAAGAUCCUAAUACAGACUUUCCGAGCAUCAGCCAAAGAGUUGACCCUCCUUGUGUUUUUCUUGGUGCUGGGUAUAGUGAUCUUUGCCUCUCUUGUGUACUACGCUGAGAGGAUACAAGCAAACCCACACAACGAUUUCAACAGCAUCCCGCUUGGUCUCUGGUGGGCUCUAGUCACUAUGACUACUGUAGGUUAUGGUGACAUGGCACCAAAAACUUAUGUAGGAAUGUUUGUGGGUGCCCUGUGUGCUUUGGCUGGUGUGUUGACAAUUGCACUACCAGUGCCUGUGAUUGUUUCAAACUUUGCUAUGUACUACAGUCACACGCAAGCAAGAGCCAAGUUGCCUAAGAAGAGGCGAAGAGUCCUGCCAGUGGAGCAUGUUCGUGUUGGACUACCUAUAGCAGCUCCCCCGAAGCAUGGAGGACCCAAUGCCAUGAAUCGUAACCCAGGACCUAAAAUGGGCAACGAUGCCCCUAAUUCCACGACUAAUGGUACAUCUAAAGGUAGUGACAUGCCCUCAAACAAAAUUACUGGGUUCUAAGAGGUCCAGCAGCCACACCCAGCCCACCAUGGCAGAUGUUAUCAUGUGUUGUGGCCACCACAAGGGAAAGUAAAUGGUUGUUUUGUACCAUAAGCUGUUGUAAAUUGAUUCCAAAUGACAAAAAAAAAAUCAUAAAGAAUAUCAAUAACAAAUCCCGUAAAACCAUCUCCUCCCUCACAUGAGUUCCAUUCAUGGACUAAGAGUUCGUGUCUCGUAACAACAGCCCAACGGAGAACCUUUAUCCCAAAUGAGCUCUCACCAGAGGGCACUUUACAACCAGAUCUAUCGUGUUUAAACCUUUAAAAGCAGACAAACAAAGUAGCAGUUAAACCAAAUUAUCCUUCCAUGUAAUACCUUCAUACCUUUCAUUAAGUACUGUACUUUGCUUCUGUAAAAGUACUGCCUUUACUGAGAUUGGUGCCAUACUUAUGUUAAGAGUGUUAAUUGUGAGGUGUACAGUGUCUUCUCUUCUGGGAGUUUUUUUCUUAAGGAAAUUACUCUGAAAUUAUAAUGAGUAUAAUAUUCAUAUUUACCUUGAUAUGUGUUCAUUAUUAAAAAAGCUUUUCAUUGUAGCCCCCCAAAGUUAUUAGCCUUAAUUAUUUUACUCUACGUUCUUUACACUGUCAACGGCAUCAGUUAAUCAGAAGUAUGUGACUGUGACUAUGACUGCACACCCAAGAACACAUUUGAUCACAACUUGAGAGGUCUAGGGCAAUAAAAACUUCUAAUUUUCCAAAAGCAGAAAAAAUCCUGGUUUGUUAACUUAGAAAACACAAUGUAGAAACAUUGACAACACCUAUUUGUUGGUAGUCUUACUUAUUGCAAAUUUAUUCAGUUCUGCAGUUUGUAUUCCUGGUUACUAUAUAUACAUAUGUAGAAUAAGUAUCCUAUAAAGAGUAAAUAUUUUGUUUAAUGUUCUUAAUUAUUAUAGAAAUUACAGUAUACAUACGGACUUAUCUUACAAGGCUUUAGAAGUACUGUAUGAUGAAUAAUUAGCAUAUAUAGUACUACAAGUUAUGCAAAAAUAAGUACAUACUGAAAGAGGAUAGAGAAAGGGUAAACAUGAUGACCUUUUACCCUUGUAGAACUUUGAGGAAAAGGUUAUGUUGGGAGUUGCACAGUCCCUUGAUGAAAUUAUUUGCAGCUAAGUACAGUAACUGGAGAAUUUAAUUCAAACCAUCAGUUUCAGUUUUAGAAAUAUAGUAGUCUUGUUUUGAUCAAGUAACAAGGUAAGGUAUAUCCUGAUGCUCAAAGGCAUACCAAGUGCGUAAAUGGUAUCUUGUAUAUACGGAUUUGUUUUAUUUGUUGAAUUUGUGCAGGCUUUUACUGUAGUUAAAGGUACUAUUACUUCUUAUGCUGUUUUCCACUUGGAUGCACUUUUUAUUUUAUCAGAUAUGAAUGUUUGCGUAAGCUUAGCAUGCAACUGAGAAUAAGGAUUUAAGUGAGGUGUUUUACCAUAUUAGGCCCUUUAUGACAGAACUCCAGGAGUGUUUAUAGUUACAAAAUGCUGUAGAGUAAAGCUUAAGGUGCUGCUGCUGUAAAUGCUAUAAUUCAACAUAUGCUUUGUAAUGAAAUAGUGCUUUAGGGUUUGAAUUCAGCAUCAUCAAAGUUUAAAGAAUUCAGCACCCAUCCUCUUUGGAGUAGAAUAGUGGAUUCCAACAUUUAUUAGACAUCCAUUCAGAAUGAUCAUUGUUGUAAGUAAUGCAGUGCUAAAAAGAUAAGGUUUUGCAGGAUUCAUGUUUGACAGACACCUCAGAUGUUCAUAUGAAAUACUGGUGUUAAUUAUACAUUGUAAUUGUGAUUUAAUAUCACUGAAGCAUUAUUCACGACAGCCGUUUUAGAUGGUCAGCUACCUACUGUUUACAGAAGUAUUUUAACAUAGGUUGCUUGAAGCUCAUAUGAUUUGUGAAGUGUACAAAGCUCUUAUAGGCACAUGUGCCUUUAAACUUUUUGUUCAUAUCAGUCUCUGAUUUUUUUUUAGGUUAUUUGGGAUGUUUUCUGUAAUCAAAAGAAAAUUAUAGAAAAAUUGUACUUAAACUUUAUUGCAGUGAACAAAAUCACAAACAGAAAAUUGUAGAUUUCUUUUUUAGUACAACAGAACCCUGUGAUAGUAUACAUAAAUCUCAGGAUUAAGUGACUGUCAGCAUAUAACAGCAAUAGCUGAGACUGAGUUAAUUACUGAAAAAUUUUAAUGAAAACUUUUAAGUGGGUUCAAUUCUAAGUUUUGUUAGAGGAAGGACACAUAAACUUUGAAAAUUAUUUAUCCCUUCAUAUUAGUAUUACGUACUCUGUUAGGUAAAGAAAAAAAACCUGUUGGGCAUGAUAUACACAAUCAUGAUUGAGCAAUGUCUAAAGAUAGAAUAUCAAUACUCAAUCGUUAUGCAGUUCUAUAUUAGGCUUUUGUUGCAUCUUGCACUAUUGCUGUUGCUUCUGGAAGUACAAAUACAGGGUUUGUUUCCCUUUUUUCAACUUGAGACCAUCAUCAAAUGAUCUAGAAUACAGCAUAUACAGUUGAUGUAUUCUUUAUUAUUUGGCUUUCAUAGAUAGCAGUGAAAAUUAACUGACUAUUCUCUUAGUAUUCAGUCAGAUUUUGAUAUAGUAUUUGGAAUUGUUUCAUCAAUUUGUGGUGCAUUGAUGUAUGAACAGAAUUAUUAGUUUAUGAAUAAAGAAUUGCAAUUUUCCAAGUAUUUUGACAAAAUGAACAUAGAUCAUAAUACCAUGGUUAUUCUUCAGGAAGAUUUUUUUAACUAGGUAUCUUAACAUUACAGAAAUUUGGACCCAACAGGUAAACAAAUUCUCAAAUGUUUAUUUGGAUGGUAGAUCAUCAUGAUUUAAACAGCGCCUUCAAAUGAAUUCUAGUUUUAUGGACUGUGCUUCUUCUCUGGAGUUUCUGCAAGAUGAGCACUUAGGGUUAUUUAGUCGCAGAUGAAGAUUUUUUUAUUAGAAUAUUGUUUUGUAUGUUUUGGCACUUAAGAAUAGAUCUUCCUUGAGUAUUACUGUUUUUGUUACUGACGAAUGUGAAAGAAUAUGUUUGAAACCAUGUCAGUAUUUUAACAAAGUCUGGAAAUGUACAUUAUAAAUGUUGUACUAGUUCUUUUGUAAGAUAACUUUAAGGAAUAGAUAGCUAAUGCAGUCUCUUGAAAGAAAUGUAGUUUAAAUUAAAACAUUCAGAGAGCUUCCAAGUUAUUUUAAAACUCUGGUCUAUUCAGUUUUUAUUAACUUAUAUUUAUUGUGUUACUGUAUUGAUUAUGUAAACAUGUCCCCUGAGAAACACUGUACAUGCUCAUAACAUUUUAGGGAGAGUUUCUUCAAGGUACUGUGCUGCCAUCUUACAGUGUAGGAGCUGCAUGGUUUUAAGCACACCUUUAUCAGGUAAGAUUAGGAUAUCUCAUCAGUUUAGUUCAUUAUUAUUGUGUGAAUUCACAUGCUAAUGAAUAACACUCUAUAAUUUAAGUAUGGCACAGUAUUGGCAUCGUAUUGCGCUACCCUAUCAUAGAACUGCUGUUUUCCCUGUUAAGUACUGUACUGUAGUCUUUCUCUACUAAGCACGAUAACAGGUAAUAAGUCUUCUUCAGAAUUUACAGAUCCUAUAAGAAAAUCUGCCAGUCAACCAUUACACUUCGUUGCUCUUAGGCAACUCCGAUCUUUGACAAAACAAAAUCUUACUUUUAGUGAUUAAUAUAUUUGUAUCCUUAUGUUAUGAUUAAUUUUCUCACAAAAUUUACCAGUACAAUUAUAGCUCAUUGUGAGACUUAUAAGUGUUACAGUACAUGGUUAUUAUUUGUUUUUUUUUUAGAUGAUUUACAAUUUCUUUUAUUCCUACCACAGUUAUUCACUGAACUCUGUAAGUGUUGGCAUUAAACAGAAAAGUAGGAAGUACAUUGUUAUUUCUUCCCGAGUGGGAAUUUUCGUAUUUAAAAACUAAGUUUACACAAAUUUACAUGUUAACACUGUUAUUCCACACUAAAUUAGGUUGAAAUCAAAUAUAUCUCUGAUAAGCAUACAGAUUUAUGCAGCAGUUAUCAUAGAAAUAACAAAAGACUGUGUAAAGUAAAUUUAGAAGUGAACUCAUGCACUCCAAGAAUAGGACAUCCUUGGGAACAACAGCAAAGUGUUUUAGCAUGUUCUAAUAUGGCAAAUAUUACAUUAUUUCUAGAAAUGAUUUUGUACAUAUUUGUGUGGUGAUUACUACCCCAACUCUAUCAAUUUGAUCAUGAAAAUAUUCGAAACUUCUGAUCUUAUCUAGACUACUCACACCCCCAUCUUUACACGAUUCAUUAUUAUAAGCAUUUCUAGAGGAUUGCCGACAGUUGCAGCAUGGUAAUGAUUUGGGUUUAAUUAUACCAUUUGUAUGAUUCUUAUAAAUUUAUAUAAUUGUUGUAUUAUCAUCUGGACUGGUACAUUUUUUUAGUCCUACACAUGGCUCUUUAAAUAGUGCCUGAAAAGUGUAGCACUUUGAUUAGUGAAAUACUUUCUACCAUUACUACCACUUACUCUUCUCUGUGAGACAACGAACAAGAAAAUCUCCACCAAGAUAGGUAUCCAGUAUAAAAAGGAAGGCUGCCAUGUCCAUAUCUAUCGUUUGUGCAUAGCCUUAUGUAGAAUAUCAUUUGGAACACCUGAAAUCUGCCUGCAUUUUCUCAUGGUUUAGAAGUUCAGACCCAUUUUGUCUUGCAUUGUUUUGUUUUUGUUGCUUACAGUGAUUUGUUUUUAACUCUUGUUUAUAAGAAAAUGCACACAGAGAGUAUUGUGUAUUGUAGAUAUUCUUAUAAAUGUAUAUAUAUUUAUAUAUAUAUACACAUCAAUACAUAUACAGUAUAUAAAAUAUCAUACUUGUAAUUAUGUAAUGAUUUAGCCUAGCUAGCGCUGUACAAUGAGGAACCCAAGCUAAGGCCCCUGCCAUGAUGCAGUACUGCUUCUAGUGUAGAUGUGGCAUGUGUGGGAGGAGAAAACCUCUCAGACUAGAUUAUAUGUAUUUAUUUUGAUGGAAAUUGAUGUCUUCUGAUUUAACAGCCAUUUUGUUCAUGUAUGUCUAGAUGUAGCAAGUGUGGCAGCAUGCUGGCAGCGCGGCUGCAAUGUGUGUAGCGCUAACACCACUGUAUCUCUCCCUCUCUCUUACAGUCGGCAUGGGCAUGGGUCUGUCUGUUACCUUGAACCCCAAUGGCGUAGGCUUAGAGACGGCCCUCAAGGCCCCACUAUUAUCCCAGACGGGGGCAUGUGGGGGUCCCACUGCCCCUCUUCAACCACUUUUCCCCAUU